UCUGAUCUGAGAAUCCGACGAUAUCUAGUGCUACCAAUCUCACCGGGAUACUCUCCCCAUCACCAUAGCCGCCGCCUCCCAUGCCACAGCCACCUCCCGUCGAUCGUACCCAAAUCCUCUGCGCGUGGUGGGAUUCCCUCAUGAGCCAUCGGUGUGCCGUUGCGCCGCCGUCGUUUGUCGCCAUCUUCACAUCGCCGCACCCGUUCCUUCCCAAAUCCUUCCUCGGGUGACCUAGGCAACCCCUAAGAGUACGACAAUCUCAGUUGAUUUCAAGGAAAGUGGCAGCGACUACCAUGAAUAGACAUCAUGUCCAGUGGCGACGCCACAAGAAUCACGUGUGUGCUUCAAUUCAAGACAAUGUCACCCUUUUACACUACGUCCACGUUGGUCAUGCCUACCCUUGAGGUACAACUCUCCUCUCCCUUACACAAUAUGACUAGGCUGGCGAUAAGGGUCAUGGCUUCAGAUCAAUAAGACAUGGCUUAGCCCUAACGUAAUACAAGGUGCCGACACAGACUGCAGAUACACUAUGAAAAUAUCAAAAUGUUGACUCGUAUGAGUUUCAUAGUAUAUGUAAUUAUGUACAUUGUAUUUGUGGAUCAAUAUUGUGUAAAAUAGAUGGGCGCGGCAACGCGCGCCAUCAAUGAUCUAGUUUCAUGGUAUAA